rnacentral:rRNA from 1 species
UACGUAGGGGCCAAGCGUUGUCCGGAUUUAUUGGGCGUAAAGAGCUCGUAGGCGGUUGGGUAAGUCGGGUGUGAAAACUCCAGGCUCAACUUGGAGAUGCCACCCGAUACUGCUCUGACUUGAGUUCGGUAGGGGAGUGGGGAAUUCCUGGUGUAGCGGUGAAAUGCGUAGAUAUCGCUUGGAACGCCGAAGGUGAAAACAGGUUGCUGGGGAUGUGCCGACGCUGAGACACGAAAGCCAGGGGAGCAAACGGG